rnacentral:rRNA from 1 species
UACGGGGGGAGCAAGCGUUGUUCGGAUUUACUGGGCGUAAAGGGCGCGUAGGCGGCCUCUGCAAGUCGACUGUGAAAUCUCCGGGCUUAACCCGGAAAGGUCAGCCGAUACUGCAGGGCUAGAGUGCAGAAGGGGCAACUGGAAUUCUCGGUGUAGCAGUGAAAUGCGUAGAGAUCAUGAGGAAGACCAGUGGCGAAGGCGGGUCUCUGGACAGUUCCUGACACUGAGGCACGAAGGCCAGGGGAGCAAACGGG